CCGGGAAGAAAUCGUGGUCUCUAACAUAGGCCAUGGAUGACGGUACCGGACUAAGAAGCACCGGCUAACUACGUGCCAGCAGCCGCGGUAAUACGUAGGGUGCGAGCGUUAAUCGGAAUUACUGGGCGUAAAGCGUGCGCAGGCGGUUUUGUAAGACAGAUGUGAAAUCCCCGGGCUUAACCUGGGAACUGCGUUUGUGACUGCAAGGCUAGAGUACGGCAGAGGGGGGUGGAAUUCCUGGUGUAGCAGUGAAAUGCGUAGAGAUCAGGAGGAACACCGAUGGCGAAGGCAGCCCCCUGGGCCUGUACUGACGCUCAUGCACGAAAGCGUGGGGAGCAAACAGGAUUAGAUACCCUGGUAGUCCACGCCCUAAACGAUGUCGACUAGUCGUUCGGAGCAGCAAUGCACUGAGUGACGCAGCUAACGCGUGAAGUCGACCGCCUGGGGAGUACGGCCGCAAGGUUAAAACUCAAAGGAAUUGACGGGG
rnacentral:rRNA from 1 species